rnacentral:rRNA from 1 species
UAGGGAAUCUUCCGCAAUGGGCGAAAGCCUGACGGAGCAACGCCGCGUGAGUGAUGAAGGUCUUCGGAUCGUAAAACUCUGUUAGUAGGGAAGAACAAAUGUGUAAGUAACUAUGCACGUCUUGACGGUACCUAAUCAGAAAGCCACGGCUAACUACGUGCCAGCAGCCGCGGUAAUACGGAGGUGGCAAGCGUUAUCCGGAAUUAUUGGGCGUAAAGCGCGCGUAGGCGGUUUUUUAAGUCUGAUGUGAAAGCCCACGGCUCAACCGUGGAGGGUCAUUGGAAACUGGAAAACUUGAGUGCGGAAGAGGAGAGUGGAAUUCCAUGUGUAGCGGUGAAAUGCGCAGAGAUAUGGAGGAACACCAGUGGCGAAGGCGACUUUCUGGUCUGUAACUGACGCUGAUGUGCGAAAGCGUGGGGAUCAAACAGG